UACGAAGGGGGCUAGCGUUGUUCGGAGUUACUGGGCGUAAAGGGCUCGUAGGUGGCCAACUAAGUCAGACGUGAAAUCCCUCGGCUUAACCGGGGAACUGCGUCUGAUACUGGAUGGCUUGAGUUCGGGAGAGGGAUGCGGAAUUCCAGGUGUAGCGGUGAAAUGCGUAGAUAUCUGGAGGAACACCGGUGGCGAAGGCGGCAUCCUGGACCGACACUGACACUGAGGAGCGAAAGCCAGGGGAGCAAACGGG
rnacentral:rRNA from 1 species